rnacentral:lncRNA from 1 species
ACUGCACCGAGCUUGCACAGGGCGAGGCGGGGGCAGGACCUGGGACCCAGCCACCCCGGAGGAAACCGGAGAGGAAGCCAGCUUGGUCUUGCUCUCUGCCUCGUCCCAAUCCCCGGCUCUUACUAAAUGCAGAUCCCUUGGCUGAAUGCCUUUUAAUCUGCAUACAUGCAUCUCAUACCACACAGCCCAAAUUUCUACAACUUCGUCCAGGUGCAGUCUUCUCAGAACUACAAAGCAAGAAAAGAUCACCUUUGGGCUCAGGAACUCACAGUCGUUCUCCCUCUCCCGGAAGGCACAAUGACCAGGACAGUACCGAGCUUUGCAGCCAUAUUGAACUCACCUCCAACUCAGCACAUUCAACCCAAUCAGUCAAAAUCGUCUUUUCCUGCAGGUAAAUAAUGCUGAAACAUAAAGAGACUGAUCUCAGAGUGGCACAGAUCUACAACCACGUGAAGAAUUGGAUUUAUAUUCAUCUGACUCCAGAAAGUUCCUGAGAUUCCUCUGCUUCAUCAUCUUUCCCGUGCCCUUUAAGACACGUUAUCAAAUAGCAACAGGUGGUGCAAUCACUAGACAAAUUAUUCUCAGUCUUUUUCUUUGCCAUUAGCACACCCGGAAGGAGAUGUGUUGGACACGUUUUCCUAGUCACCACCCCAUGAAUCUUCCAUACCACAGGUAUACUGUGUAUUCGGCUAUGUAUCAUCUGUACACCUGUUUCUAAAACAUAGAAACAGUAAGAGCCCCCAAUCCAAGAAUCCAUUUUAGUCCUCUUGGGUGUGAUGUCACCCCCCAAAAAUGCAUAUGCUCUGGACUCAGUCACAAACACAUUACGAAUGCAUGAUCACUUAAGAACGUUACCAAAGUUUAUAAAUUUGAGAUGAUAAUUCUAUAUUAUUUAGUUCAUUUUAGAGAUAAGUAAGAACCAGAGAUUCCAGAGAGGUAGACCAAGCUGACAGAGCAAGGAAAGGCAGAGCCAGACAUGCAGCUGAAGCAUCUGGAUUCCCACUCUAGUGCUCCAGCUUAACCCAGAUGAUCAGUAAAUGAUUGCUUUUCAAUGUGCUCUCAACACUUCCCACAUUGCCUCCUUCAUUAAUAAAGGAACGAUAUUUUGGGAGAAACCAGAAUCUGCCCUGGGGCAAUAGAAAGGCAGCAAAGCAACCUGCAUUCAAGUCUUUGGGGGAUUUUUUGGAAAGCAGAAUGUAUUAGUCUGCUAUUGCUGCUGUAACAAAUUACCAUCAACUUAGUGGCUUAAAACAACACACAUUUGUUGUCUUAAAGUUCUGGAGGUCAGAGCCCAAAAUGGGUCUCAUGGAGCUAAAAUCAAGAUGUCAGAAGGGCUGUGUUCUUUUGAGAGGCCCUGGGGGGAGAAUCUGUUCCAUGCCUUCUCCAGCUCCUGGAAGUCACCUGCUUGCUUUGGCUGUGGGGCACUUCCAGCAACUGCAUCACUCUAACCUCUGCUACCAUAGCACAUCUCCUCUUCUGACUCUCACUCUCUUCUUUCUUUCCCUUAUAAGGACACUUGUAGUCCAGGAUAAUCUCCCCAUUUCAAAAUCCUUUACUUAAUCACAUCUGCAAAGUCCGUCUUGGCCUAUAAGGUGACAUACUUGCAGAUUCCAUAAAUUAGAAUUUGGACAUCUUUGGGUGGCUGUUAUUAUGCCUGCCACACAGACCAAUGCAUACACAACGUGACCAAUCCAUCUUGGUUUGUCUGAGACUAUAUUGGCUUUAAAGCUGAAAGUUCGGCAUCCCAGGAAUCCCCUCAGUCCCAGGCAAUUCAGGACAAUUCGUCGUCACCCUGUGUGCACCUCCUAUGUGCUCCUUCAACUUAGAGAGUUGGUGUUUUCUCUCCUCUUCAGAGGACUAACUCCUCUUCACCUAAAGAGUACACAGAGGAUGGGUGUAGUGGCUUAGGCCUGUAAUCUUAGUGCAUUUGGGACACUGAGGCAGGAGGUUCACUUGAGCCCAGGAGUUUGAGACCAUUCAGGGCAACAUAGUGAGACCCUUUCUCUACAAAAGUUUUUUAAAGAUUAGUUGGGCAUGGUGGCACAUGCCUGUAGUCCCAGCUACUUGGGAGGGAGGCUAAGGCGGAAGGAUCCCCUGAGCCCGGGAUUCAAGGCUGCAGUGAGCUAUGAUAGUGCCACUGUACUGUGGCUGAGGCAACAAAACGAGGCCCUGUCUCUAAAAAUAAAAAAUAAAAA